rnacentral:rRNA from 1 species
AUGGGAACGCGAAGAACCUUACCUACUCUUGACAUCCAGAGAACUUUCCAGAGAUGGAUUGGUGCCUUCGGGAACUCUGAGACAGGUGCUGCAUGGCUGUCGUCAGCUCGUGUUGUGAAAUGUUGGGUUAAGUCCCGCAACGAGCGCAACCCUUAUCCUUUGUUGCCAGCGGUUAGGCCGGGAACUCAAAGGAGACUGCCAGUGAUAAACUGGAGGAAGGUGGGGAUGAUGUCAAGUCAUCAUGGCCCUUACGAGUAGGGCUACACACGUGCUACAAUGGCGCAUACAAAGAGAAGCGACCUCGCGAGAGCAAGCGGACCUCAUAAAGUGCGUCGUAGUCCGGAUUGGAGUCUGCAACUCGACUCCAUGAAGUCGGAAUCGCUAGUAAUCGUAGAUCAGAAUGCUACGGUGAAUACGUUCCCGGGUCUUGUACACACCG